GGGGGAGGCUUGACAAUUCUUCAGCAUUUUAGUUGAAAUUGUGUCCUAUUAUAUAUGGAAAGGAGUUUCCCCUGAAGGAAUACAUUGUAUCCCACUUUUAUACUUGUAGUUCACUUUUAUUAAUACAGUGGUAUUAAUACAAUGAAAUUCCCUUUCUUUCCCUGUCACCAGUCCUCUGUCAUCUAACAAGCCUGCAACAUAGUGACAGCAGAAGGCUACAGAUAUUGACAGUCACACAGAGACAGCAACAGAAGCCGUAAAAUAUUUUGAAAUAUUUUGAAACCACGAAGCUGAUUAAUAAUAAUAAUAUAUCUCACAAGAUAAAAAUAAAGUGUACAGGCUGCCCUUUGGGCUUAGACAUAUACAAAUUGUUUAUUUACAGGUAUUGAUCUGAUCCCAGAAGAAAAGGUGUAUUGAAAUGCAGAGAAGCAGGUAGCCUGGCUUAAUGGAGUUAUUCUCAUCAUAUUCAAACCUGUGACACAUUUUAAACUGGGAGGGUCAUAUAAGACUAGCCUGACUUGGAUGAGAACAUCGGAAUGAGAAUUUCACCUCAAAGGAGAGGUGAGCCUUUAAGACCCUUCACCCCAAACUUUCAGAGAUGAAGUUCAAUAUUCAGAACAGAGAAGGGCUUUCCACCUUAAACUAGGUAAGUUUAAGUUGUGGCUCCUCUUAUGAAAGUCUUCUUGGAAGAAAUUUGGUGGGGUGUGGGGAGGAGAGAACACAUGAAUGAAAGAAAGACUCUCUCAUCUCACUGACGACACAUUCAGAUCUCCAUUUCCCUCCUUACAUGCCAAAUCUUCAGCUCUGAAAUGGUGCCCCCUCCCCAACACCUCUGCCUGGAAGGAAAUCCCUCUAUAAUCAGUGGAACAGGCUUCACAGUAAGCCUGGUUAGAGCUGGGGGAUGUUUCUGUAUCACCUGAUUACUUGAUACAUGAAGUAUUUACAAGGUAUUAAGAAGUUGAUGGGUGGUUAGCCUUUCUUUGAAGUCUGCUUUGUCAAAAGAGGUAAAGAGGUGAGAAGCAAGUCCGCCAAUAAUAAGAUCACCAGGUUGGUAGUAUUCAUGUGGAAUUCUGGACAGAUCAUGCAUGGUGCAACAUGUAUGUUUGCACACCAUAUGUGGCAGAUGAAAGAGAAUGGGCACAACAAACAGCAACAUACUGAGGCAAAUAUUCUUUCUCAUCUGACACACUCAUUUCCAUCUGGAAAAUGAACCUCAGCUUCAGAACCACGCUCAGUACAAUAUUCUGCCUUGACAGGAACAGCACUUCCCUACCAAUUCACAGAUUAAAAUCCUAUUAUACACCUCAACAAAGAGAAAAGCAAAAAUCCUCCCUCUUUCUCUUCCCUCUCCCUUGCUUAGAAUGGCAGGAAGGGGUUUUAUACCCAAACUCUGGCUGGUAUUGUCUGGAAAUCUAUUGAGACAUUAUUCAAGAGAGACUUAGUCAUGACGAGAUUGAUAAUUACAGUUGUGAUGAUAACUAGGUCUCUCUACAUCAAAAACAACAAAAUGACCAGAAAAAACACCUGCACAUGCUUGUGUUAUUUCAUCAAAAGUGGUUUCUGUCUGUUUAUGGGACAACAAAAGAGCAUGCAAAAAUAACAACAAGGAGGAAGAAAAGAAUAGAACAGUGGUCUGCUAUCAGUGCUGAAAAGCUUCAUCUGAACAGGGGAAAUGAUCAGUCUGACCUCCAAAUUUUCCCCCUGAACAUCUGUUCAUUAAUUUACUGACAAUCAUACUAAGACUGAAAAAUUGUGAAAGAGAUUGAAUUAUGGCAGAUGAUUUGUGUAGGUGGCAAGUAAAAUUAAGUAUAAACAGGGAGAAUUUCCUGGACGCCAAGAUCCAGGUUUGGGGCAAGUGCUCUUUGCUGAGAGAACCCUAGCAGAGAUUUCAAAUCACAAAAUUCAGCAAAGUAAAGUGUGAAAAUAUGGGUUGUUAGAUCGGAAAAAAUAUACCCUCAUGAGUUCCAAAACUUCCCUCUCCCCUUACCAUUGAAAAGGACCACACAUCUGGUCAGUGAAAAUUGGCAUACUUACAAAUUCUUCAAAGGUCAGGUUCAUGUGUUUCUCCAUACACAGUCAGAAAACACAGGCAGUAACACUUGGCUUAGUUAUAGUGGUGAAAGCUGCAAAUUAUUGGAAUAGGAGUCCAAGAGAGGCUUCUUAGAGCCAUGAGUUCUGAACUUGUAGCAACCAGCUAAGACCUUAAAUGUUGCGCUUCUUGGGUAGACUGAUAGAGAGCAAUAGGCCAUGUAUGUUAUGCAAUUAGGGUGAGGUAAGCUAGUUUUUGCUGUUUUGGGGACUGCUAAAAUUCCAAGAGCAUCUUGGUAUCUUCCUUAAAUGUAAUUCUAAGGCAAUUCUAAGGGGCGAUAUAUAGAUGUAAUAAAGAAAAAAUGAUUAGCAAAUACAAAAAGAAUGGUUAAUUAAUGUAUUUGAGAUAUCAAGAUGUAAGAGAGAAUUAACUUUACAAUUGCCCAGAUGUAUUCAGUAUUCAUAGUGGGUCAUGGAAUAAAAUGGUCUUUUUAUUUACCAAUCUUCUUGUUCCACCAUUUUUCAAAGAAUGUGAGAUAAUAUUGUAUUUUCUAAUUAAAAGGACUUUUAUUGUACUAAUGUUCAAAAUGCUUUUUCUCCAAAAUAUUCAUUCAGAACUAACCAGUUCCAUCUUCUGAACCAAAGCCCAUUAGCAAUACCACCAUUGUUAUAAGUAAGAACAAUGAGGCCGGAGUCUCAAGAGGUUCUGAGAGAGUUAAAGUUAUAUCAAGUACAAUAUAUGAAAAUAAUGAAUCAGGAAAUAGAAUGGAAAAUUAAACAAAUGAGACAAAAGACUUUUGAAUCGGCUAAUAAAUGUGGUAAAUUGUUGGCAUGGCAAAUGAAAAAGAGACAAAAACGAAAUACGAUUACGAAUUUAGAAGUGGAAGGAAGGAAUAUACAGAACCCUGCAGAGAUUAGAAGUUGUUUCCAGAAGUAUUUUAAAAGACUAUAUACUCAAGGGCCAGUGAAAGAAACAGAUUUAGACCAAUUUUUGAAAACAAAUGGACUACAAAAAUAUCUCAAGAAAAGAGACUAAUUUUGAAUGGCAGAAUAACUGAACAGGAAAUAGAAGGUGCCAUUCAAAAUAUGCAACUGGGUAAAUCUCCAGGACCAGACGGCUUGACCUCUAGAUACUACAGAUCUUUAAAAGAAUGGUUAAUUCAACCAUUGAAAGAGGUCUGUAAUGAAAUUAUGGAGGGGAAGAGGGCACCAGAGUCGUGGAAAGAAGCAUAUAUUACACUUGUACCAAAAACAGAGACUGAAAAGACACAACUUAAGAACUACCGCCCUAUCAUUACUUAAUGUGGAUUACAAAAUUUUUGCAGAUAUUUUGGCGAAGAGAUUUAAAAAAGUGUUGAUGGAAGAGAUUCACAAAGACCAAGCGGGCUUUCUCCCAGGAAGACAUUUGUCUGACAAUUUGAGGAAUAUAAUUGAUAUCUUGGAAAAAUUAGAAGUGAAUAUAAACACUAAAGCAGUGUUGAUAUUUGUAGACGCGGAGAAAGCCUUUGACAAUAUUUCUUGGAAUUUUAUGAAGAAGAAUCUACAGGGUAUGGGGGUAGGCCAAGGUUUUGAGAAUGGUAUAAGUGCAAUUUAUUCAGAACAAAAGGCUAAACUAAUUGUAAAUAAUGUUGUGACGGAAGAACUUAAAAUUGAAAAAGGGACACGACAAGGUUGCCCAAUUUCCCCACUUCUUUUAUUUCGGUCCUGGAGGUUCUGCUGAAUAUGAUUAGAAGGGACCAGAUGGUUAAAGGUAUACAGGUCGGAAUUAAACACUAUAAAUUGAGAGCAUUUGCAGAUGACUUAGUAUUGACGUUACAGGAGCCAGAAUCUAGUACAAAAAGGGUUUUAGAACUGAUUCAAGAAUUUGGUCAAGUGGCAGGAUUUAAAUUGAACAAGUCAAAAACCAAGGUUUUAGAGAAAAAUUUAACAUCGUUUGAAAGAGAGAGGUUUCAGAAUGAGACAGGUUUAACAGUGGUUAAGAAAGUUAAAUACUUGGGGAUUAACAUGACAGCAAAAAAUGGGAAUUUAUUUAAAGAUAAUUAUGAAAAAUGUUGGUCAGAAGUGAAAAAAAGAUUUAGAAAUUUGGUCAAAUUUGAAGCUUUCACUGCUAGGCCGUAUUGCUGCGAUAAAGAUGAAUGUAUUGCCCAGAAUGUUGUUUUUGUUUCAAACUUUGCAGAUCGUGGACAAAAUGGAUUGUUUCAAGAGGUGGCAGAAAGAUAUUUCUAAAUUUGUCUGGCAGGGCAAGAAACCCAGAAUAAAAUUUAAAAUAUUAACGGAUGCAAAGGAAAGAGGUGGAUUUGCCCUGCCAGACCUUAAACUGUACUAUGAAUCAGCAGCUUUUUGCUGGUUGAAAGAAUGGCUACUUCUUGAAAACACUGACAUUUUGGAUCUAGAAGGUUUUAAUAAUGUAUUUGGAUGGCAUGCAUAUUUAUGGUAUGAUAAGGUCAAAGCACAUAAAGCAUUUAAAAACCACAUUGUCAGGAAAGCGCUGUUUAAUGUCUGGAUAAGAUAUAAGGAUUUGCUAGAAAAUAAAACCCCAAGGUGGCUGUCACCAAUGGAAGCGAAAGCCUUGAAAAAGGUCAAUAUGGAGGUCAAAUGGCCGAAAUAUUGGGAAAUUUUGGAACAAGACGGAGAUAGACUGAAAUUGCAGAGUUUUGAAAAACUAAAAAACAAAGUGCGAGACUGGCUUCAUUAUUAUCAAAUAAUGGAGGUAUUUAAAUUGGACAGGAAAAUUGGCUUCCAGGUGGAAAGUUCCAAAUUAGAAACAGAAUUGUUAGAACCCAAUACCAAGAAUUUGUCAAGAAUGUAUAACCUGCUGCUGAAAUGGAAUACUCAAGAUGAAACGGUAAAAUCGGCUAUGAUUAAAUGGGCACAGGACGUUGGUCAUAACAUUAUGUUUGCUGACUGGGAACAGUUAUGAACCACAGGUAUGAAAUUUACGGCAUGUAAUGCCUUAAGAGAGAAUAUUAUGAAAAUGAUAUACAGGUGGUACAUAACCCCAGUCAAGCUUGCGAAAAUCUAUCACUUGCCCGAUAACAAAUGUUGGAAAUGUAAAGAAAUUGAAGGUACAUUUUUUCACCUUUGGUGGACGUGCCCAAAGAUUAAGGCUUUCUGGGAAAUGAUAUAUAAUGAAUUAAAAAGGUAUUUAAGUAUACCUUCCCCAAGAAACCAGAGGCCUUUCUCCUGGGCAUAGUAGGCCAAAUGGUGUUAAAAAAGGAUAGAACUUUCUUUAUGUAUGCAACAACAGCAGCAAGAAUACUCAUCGCAAAGUAUUGGAAGACACAAGAACUUCCCACGCUGGAGGAAUGGCAGAUGAAACUUAUGGACUAUAUGGAAUUGGCGGAAAUGACUGGUAGAAUCCGUGACCAGGGAGAAGAGUUGAUGGAGGAAGACUGGAAGAAAUUCAAAGACUAUCUUCAGAAACACUGCAAAAUUAAGGAAUGUUAGAGUGAUGUUGGACUGAAAACAAGUGGUUUCCAGCUGUACAGGUUAAAGUUAAGGAUAGAUUAAGAUUAAAGAUCAAGAUUAAAGAUGUUUAAAGAAAUGGAAAUUUGAUAAUAAAAGGGAAAAAUUUAAAGCUAUAUGACAUUAAGAUCAAGGAUUAGGUUUAAAAAAGAUGAAGUUAUAUAUUAUAACGUUUUAUUAAAUUAAAGAUUGAGAUUAAAAAAGUGGAAAAGAAACUGCUGGACAAAUAAUGUGGAUUGGAAUACAAAAGAGGGAGGUAUGAGGAAGUCCAGAAAAUAAGUAACUUAAAAUUGGAAAAGGAAAAGAGAGUUUGUUUUUAAUUGUUAUGUUUUGUGUUUUUAUUGUUAAGUUAGGUAUUGUUUUUUGUGUGUGUUGUUUUUCUUUUUUGUUUGUUUAAAACCUUAAUAAAAAAUUAUUAAAAAAAAAAAAAAGAACAAUGAGGCCGGAGGAACAUCACCCAGCUGUGAGGCGUGAAGGUCGCUCUCCUCAAGACCUUUUCCAACUGGCCUAGGGGGCGAGGCCCAGACUCACCAGCCCUACUGAAGAGGCUCCUCAUGAGGCUGGAGGAACAU